UUUAAUAUAAAUAGGAAACGGUGUUGAACCUAGGGUUAUCUCAACAGCCGCUUCCAUCCUUGCGCUUCUCAAAACUUUUUUUUUCAUCGCUUCCUUUAGAUCUCGCUUCUAUGGCGGCGAAUCUUUUAUUUAUAGCUUCUGUUUGUAAUAGCGAGUCCUCCGAUCUACACAACGGUGUUGAUUUUCCAUCGAUUUAAUCGCUUCUAUGUCUUUCAUCGGUAGAUCUGAUGCAGAUCUCAUGAAAUCUAUACUUCCUCUAAGGGUAAAUCUUAUCUCAUGUCACCGUUUGUUUUUUACUUGAUUUUGGUUUCUGAUCACGUUUCUUUUUUACUCUGGUGUUAGAUCUGCCGGUGGGAUCAUCGCGUGAGGGGUGUCUAUUAUGCAAAUCGGUUGCGUUGAAGCGCGUUGAGGCUGAAUCGAAUUCGUUUAUGGACGUGAAGCUGUGUUCUUGUGUGGGUUAAGUUAAAAUUAGGAUGUAGAAGAUGUUGAAUUGCAUCUUUUGUCAUCCGACCUUUGCCAUGUCAGGUGCGCUUGCAUGGCAGGUCAAAAACAGAUCUUAAUAAAACAAUAUGUUUUGUGGUUGGGAGGGGAGUUCGCACGGGUGUUUUUUUUUUAUCCCGGGUUCUCCUCUUCCUGUGUGCGUGUCUUGCUCUCUGCGAAAUUUCACACUAUUUAUUAUUAUGCACCGUAACUCAACAGAUAGCCAUGAAACACUUAUAUCUCAUUCGACCUGGAGCUGUAACACUUUGCGCCAUUCAUGCCCCACCCAACAAGCAUGCGCUCGUAAGUAUGUUAUUUUUGAUAAUUUAGUCACUCAGAAUAAUAUCCAAUCACACCCAUGCAUAUUAACAAUCAUACGUACAUUAAUCAUUACUUCCGUCAUGAAUUUUACAAAUUCGUUGCCCAAAUUUAUUGGGCCAACUAGUUACUUUUCAUUCUAUUAUUUGUUUCUCUUUUUUGAGUGAAUUGACAAACCCUACUGAUCUAAAAGCUUUCUAUGCUGUAGACAGUAUUUUUUUAUUUAUAUUUCUAAGUUUAUAAGUAUCUGUUUGAUUUAUAUAGUUAGAGAACAUCACAAGAUUAUGUAUCCGAAAUUUGAUGGCUGAAGGGUGAGAAUGGGAUAUCAUAUUAGCUUGUGGAGCAAUACAUUGGAAGCUAUAGCGUGGAGCAGUGUGAAUACAACAGCUCUUUGUAGACUCAUCCUAUAAAGCUUAUUGUAAAUGAAGGUAUUAAAAUGCUGUGUGUACACAUUGAUUAAUUUCCUUAACAUAUAUCGAAGUGUAUCCAUUAUUACACUCCAUGUUUUCAUUUUGUUUUGAUGUGAAUAUAUUUUUGCCGAUAAUUCACUAAUAAAAUUGAUAUUAUUGUUUAAAAUUUCUUCUCCCAUGGUAGUUUUAUCUUUUCAAAUUUUUGUUCUGUCCGCAAGUGAAAGGUUACUUGAUCGUGUUGCUAAGUAUAUGAACAGUCUGUUUGUCUUGCCAUGAGCACAUUUUGAGUUUUCAAGAUUCGAUAAUAGAUCUGUAAGCUCAAAACGGGAGAGCGCUCUUCUUCUUUUGAAGUUGAGAGGUUGGUGGUUCGAGUCCACCCAGAUUUGCUCUAAUUUGCUUUUUAUUGUAAUUUCUAUGAAAUGUUCCAAUUCUUGUCAUUUCCCUGAUGGCCUGAUCUACUUAUUAAAUCGAUCGAUCAUUAAUCUCAUUUUUGGUAGCAACAGUGCAGCGUAUUUGAUGGACAACGUUUCUUCCAAUUUAUCGCUUCUUAGUAUUCUGUCUCUUCCCGACGAAAUAUUUGGAUUGUUAAACAGGACGUGGCCUGGAGUUUUGGUACAAGAGGACGUGGCCUAGAGUUCUGGUAUUUAAGUUAUACCUACUGCUUCACUACAACACGAAAUGAGUCAAGAGUCUCAUCGACUUAUCUUUACCUUUUAUCAGGACGAGUUGCAUUCAUUAUUGGGGAUGGUUUCUGUUAUAAAAGAAUGAACCAUAAUAACGUACUCCGGCAUUCAUUAUUGUAGUAGUAGGGCUUUAUACACUAAGCGAUG
rnacentral:lncRNA from 1 species